rnacentral:tRNA from 1 species
GGGCGAUUAGCACAGUGGUAGCGCAUAUCCUUCACACGGAUAGGGUCACUGGUUCAAAUCCAGUAUCGCCCA